CAGAGGUGCAACACAGGCUGCAGAAAACGUGUUCAAUUUAGAAAGAAGCAGUAUGCAUGAAAACGAAUAGGUAACACCAAAUGUUUUGCUACAAUCUAUAUAGCUUACAAUAUUAUACAUAUCUACAUUAUGCCUAGCAGCUACAGACCAUACCUGCUCUAGCCGGCUAGUGCGUCUUUGCGCUCUCUCUUCCCGCUGAAAAGAGUGCCUCCUCUUGGUUGUGGAUCUGGUUGCCGCUUGAGAGAUACCUUGGCCAGAGCAUAACUGGUUAUCUUCACCCAAGAGACCUACUGUUGGUCAAUCGUUUUGGCUUUAAAGAAGUUGCAUCGAUUCCAGAAAACCAGGAAAAUGUUGAGCCAUCUGUAGACUUCAGAGCUGAACCAGAUUUCUACCCAGUAAUCCAGACUCCACUUCACAGAGCCAAGAGUUUGAGUACAAGGAAGUGAUGUUAUUUGUGACGUUUUUUGUCUUGGAAACUAUUGCUUCUAAUUAAGAUUAGAAAUCCUUUUAUCCAUAAUCUGUUUUUCAUUAUGGCACUUG
ensembl:lncRNA